GAGAGGCAAGGCUCAUAAAUACGAACCGACAAUUGAAAUGUACGACAAAGAUGACGCGUACUACUAAUCCAGUGAGUGAGAUGAAUGACAGAAGUUACUCGGCCUGGUUUUAGGUAGUAACGCAUCAUCCUGCAAAUCUCAGAUGCCAAGAGAGAGACGCAAAAAAAAAAAAAAUCGAGGAACGGUUUUCCAUUCUGUGAUCAAUUAUAAUGGCCGGACGUAUGUUUGACCUAAUUAACUCCCUGAAGAAGCCAUCAAUAGUGAAGAUAAAGCAUGUAGCAAAGGCAAGGCUGAUUACAAAUGGAUAGUGGGAGAUUUCCGGGGCCCACGCAGCUGCAGAAAAUCGAUUUUCCUUGUCCUUCUCAUCUUUUUAUUUAUCGACUUUUCUACGACAAGCAUUUUCCCAGCAUCUCGAUUCUCCAAGGUAAAAAUGCCUACCCCUCUUCAUUAUAUAUGGAGACCGAGGCCUUAGCGCGUUAUCACUCAUCACUCCUCCUCUAAAGCUAUGGCUUCUUUGCCUUGGUCGCUCACAACCUCCACCGCCAUCGCCAACACCACCAACAUUUCAGCCUUCCCACCUUCUCCCUUGUUUCAAAGGGCUUCUCAUGUCCCCGUAGCCAGAAACCGAAGCUGCAGAUUUGCUCCUAGUAAGGUGUCGUGCAAUUCUGCGAAUGGUGAUCCAAACUCGGAUUCUACCUCCGACGUUCGAGAAACUUCCUCAGGGAAGUUAGAUAGGAGGAAUGUGCUUCUUGGCAUAGGAGGGCUGUAUGGUGCUGCUGGCGGUCUCGGCGCCACUAAGCCAUUAGCCUUUGGGGCUCCCAUCCAGGCACCGGAUAUAUCCAAGUGUGGUACCGCCACCGUGCCUGAUGGUGUAACGGCCACAAAUUGUUGCCCGCCAGUCACCACAAAGAUUAUAGAUUUCCAGCUACCUUCCUCAGAUUCCCCCAUGCGUACCAGGCCAGCUGCUCACUUGGUCAGCAAAGAGUACUUAGCCAAGUAUAAAAAGGCCAUUGAGCUGCAGAAAGCUCUUCCUGAUGAUGAUCCGCGUAGUUUCAAGCAACAGGCUAAUGUCCAUUGCACCUAUUGCCAAGGGGCUUAUGAUCAGGUUGGGUAUACCGACCUAGAACUCCAGGUUCAUGCUUCAUGGCUUUUCCUCCCUUUCCACCGUUACUAUCUCUACUUCAAUGAGAGAAUUCUUGCAAAGUUGAUCGACGAUCCCACCUUCGCUUUGCCCUAUUGGGCUUGGGAUAACCCUGAUGGCAUGUAUAUGCCGACCAUCUAUGCUAGUUCCCCAUCAUCAAUCUACGACGAGAAGCGCAACGCCAAGCACCUGCCUCCGACUGUGAUCGAUCUCGACUACGAUGGCACCGAACCCACAAUCCCUGAUGANNNNNNNNNNNNNNNNNNNNNNNNNNNNNNNNNNNNNNNNNNNNNNNNNNNNNNNNNNNNNNNNNNNNNNNNNNNNNNNNNNNNNNNNNNNNNNNNNNNNCAGCAGCAUCGGAGACUUCCCAAAAGCUCUAACUCAGUGAUAAGAGUAGAAGUUCCGAGGCCAAAGAAAUCAAGAAGCAAGAAGGAGAAAGAGGAUGAGGAAGAGGUGUUACUGAUAAAAGGAAUAGAGCUAGAUAGAGAGAAUUUCGUGAAGUUUGAUGUGUACAUCAACGACGAAGAUUAUUCAGUGAGUAGGCCUAAGAAUAGUGAGUUUGCAGGAAGCUUUGUGAACGUACCACACAAGCAUAUGAAAGAAAUGAAGACGAAGACCAAUCUGAGGUUCGCGAUAAAUGAGCUGUUAGAGGACUUGGGAGCCGAAGAUGAUGAGAGUGUGAUCGUGACUAUAGUCCCUCGUGCUGGGGGCGAUGAUGUCACCAUUGGUGGAAUUGAGAUCGAGUUUGUUUCCGAUUGAUCCCAUCUUUCAAUGAUUAUCCAUUAUAUGUAUGUAUCAGGUAAGUCACAUCUUUAUGUGACUAAUGGAAAAUGUGAGACUUCUCUGUACUCUCCCGUCAAGUCUUUUAUUAAUUUAGAGCUGUUUGGUUUAAAUUUAAGGGGUUUUUAAUUGGUGUUAGUUUCCUGUGCCUUUUAUUUACUUUAGAUUGAAGUGGAAAUUGAAGUUAAAUUUACUAC
rnacentral:lncRNA from 1 species